rnacentral:rRNA from 1 species
AUUAGAGUUUGAUCCUGGCUCAGAUUGAACGCUGGCGGCAUGCUUUACACAUGCAAGUCGAACGGUAACAGGUCUUCGGAUGCUGACGAGUGGCGAACGGGUGAGUAAUACAUCGGAACGUGCCUAGUAGUGGGGGAUAACUACUCGAAAGAGUAGCUAAUACCGCAUGAGAUCUACGGAUGAAAGCAGGGGACCUUCAGGCCUUGUGCUACUAGAGCGGCUGAUGGCAGAUUAGGUAGUUGGUGGGGUAAAGGCUUACCAAGCCUGCGAUCUGUAGCUGGUCUGAGAGGACGACCAGCCACACUGGGACUGAGACACGGCCCAGACUCCUACGGGAGGCAGCAGUGGGGAAUUUUGGACAAUGGGCGAAAGCCUGAUCCAGCAAUGCCGCGUGCAGGAUGAAGGCCCUCGGGUUGUAAACUGCUUUUGUACGGAACGAAAAGCCUGGGGCUAAUAUCCCCGGGUCAUGACGGUACCGUAAGAAUAAGCACCGGCUAACUACGUGCCAGCAGCCGCGGUAAUACGUAGGGUGCAAGCGUUAAUCGGAAUUACUGGGCGUAAAGCGUGCGCAGGCGGUUUUGUAAGACAGUGGUGAAAUCCCCGGGCUCAACCUGGGAACUGCCAUUGUGACUGCAAGGCUAGAGUGCGGCAGAGGGGGAUGGAAUUCCGCGUGUAGCAGUGAAAUGCGUAGAUAUGCGGAGGAACACCGAUGGCGAAGGCAAUCCCCUGGGCCUGCACUGACGCUCAUGCACGAAAGCGUGGGGAGCAAACAGGAUUAGAUACCCUGGUAGUCCACGCCCUAAACGAUGUCAACUGGAUGUGGGUCUUAACUGACUCAGUAACGAAGCUACGCGUGAGUUGACCGCCUGGGGAGUACGGCCGCAAGGUGAAACUCAAAGGAAUUGACGGGAACCGCACAGCCGGUGGAUGGAUGUGGUUUUAUUCGAUGCCACGCGGAAAGACCCUACGCGCCCUUUGAACAUGGGAGGAACUUACUCAAAAAAUGUGUUUUGGUGUCUCCAAAAAAAAAACCUGGCCACACAGUGCUGCGCAAGGCGUGCUCAGAU